rnacentral:SRP_RNA from 1 species
GCCAGGCGUGGUGGCCCAUGCCUGUAAUCCCAGCUACUCGGGAGGCUGAGGCGGGAGAAUUGCUUGAGCUCAGGAGGUGGAGGUUGCAGUGAGCCGAGAUUGAGCCAUUGCACUCCAGCCUGGGCAAAAAAGUGAGACCUUGUCUCAA